rnacentral:rRNA from 1 species
GACGAACGCUGGCGGCGUGCUUAACACAUGCAAGUCGAACGGAAAGGCCCUGCUUUUGUGGGGUGCUCGAGUGGCGAACGGGUGAGGAACACGUGAGUAACCUGCCCUUGACUUUGGGAUAACUUCAGGAAACUGGGGCUAAUACCGGAUAGGAGCUCCUGCUGCAUGGUGGGGGUUGGAAAGUUUCGGCGGUUGGGGAUGGACUCGCGACUUAUCAGCUUGUUGGUGGGGUAGUGGCUUACCAAGGCUUUGACGGGUAGCCGGCCUGAGAGGGUGACCGGCCACAUUGGGACUGAGAUACGGCCCAGACUCCUACGGGAGGCAGCAGUGGGGAAUAUUGCACAAUGGGCGGAAGCCUGAUGCAGCAACGCCGCGUGCGGGAUGACGGCCUUCGGGUUGUAAACCGCUUUCGCCUGUGACGAAGCGUGAGUGACGGUAAUGGGUAAAGAAGCACCGGCUAACUACGUG